ensembl:lncRNA
GGGGCGUGCCCGCCGCGGCUCCUCCCUCUGGGCUCCGCGCCGGCUCUAGGAGCCCGGGUGCGGGUGGGAGCAAGCGAGCGAGCGUGUCCUCCUUCCGCCUCCCUCUCUUCCGUCGUCCGCACUGGGCUGGGGCGGCGGCGCCUGAGCGGUUCCCUCGCGAGCCUGUGCGGACCAAGCCGCUGGAGAAGAGGAGGAGCAGCCCGGGCGGGGCGGAGACGCUUGCGGGCUCCUCUCAGUCACUUCAGCCAAUCAACAGCCAGAACCGAUGGUUGCGUAGUGUCCCCACCCCCUCGGGCACGCCUCUCUUCGAUAAGCCACGCCCAACUGCCCUCCAGCCGCCUUCCCUUUCGGCGGUUUCCGCGCGGUCCUAAUGUGUGGUGGCUGACCGCGGGCUGGGGUGGGGAAGGACGCGGUAGGACUGUAGGAGAUGGCUAGGUGUGCUAGAGCGCGGCAAGGCGCUGCUGAGACCCGCGUGUGCGGUGGGAAGUGGGGAACUGCCCCUUUUCCAAGGGCCUGAACACAGCUUUUGACUACUGACUGUCCUGUUCUGCCUUCCUCUUCGCGUGGGCCACCGCCCCACAGCGCCGCUGGGUUCCCUUCGCGGCCGCAUGGUACGCGUCCCGGGAGCGAAGCUUCCCCUGGGGGGAGCGCGCUAACCUGAGCUCCUUCGGUGCACCGCCCUGCCGACUGUCUGGAAGUCAGCAAUGGGAUAUUCCCACCACAACUUUACCGGGAUCUCUGGGUUGACUCUCUGGGUUGAGGAUCGGGGAGCUGGGUCGGGAGGCUGGCUUGUGGCUGUGGUUGAGGGGCCCGGACGCCUCGAAAGCAGGAGGGUGCCCAGGCGAAGUGCAGGCUGCACCAUGCAAUCUUCCGGGCGCAGAGGCGACCCAACCCGACCUGAGGGAGAUCCACGGGCUCUGGGCCGAGGGGAGACGCAGUGCCAGAACUUACUGUAAGCACUAAGCAGUGUUGGAAACUUCCACAGAGAAGAGCACAACCUUUGGAGCCAGGAAUGAACUGAACUGCUGGUCCACAAGAACAGUUUUUCUAUCAAAGGAUACCAUCAAAUUCUGGAGAAGUUCUACAAAUCAUAAUCUAUUUCCCUUUUUCCAGAAAGGUAAGUGAAAAUCUGCUUGUCCUAAGGUUAAAGUCCAGUUUGUACUAUUUAUUCUGACUAACCUUCUGAGAACGAGAAGGGCAUGUUUUUAGAGCAAAGGGAAAAUUUUGACCAAUGGCCAUGCACUGUGACAAGUGCUGCAUUGAAAAGAAAACAAGGAGCCAGAUCGGCUCUUCUAGAACUGGAAUUGGUCUUCUCAAACUGGGAGAAACAAAGCAACCUUCCAUGGAUGUGUAAACAGCACCCAUGAUCCUGCCUGCCACGGAACCUGUGAUGCUAGGCACUGUGGGUGUUGCAAACCCGAUGUUUUGAAACUUGCCACCCACACUUGUCACCUCCCUGUACCCACUGCAUUUCAACACUGGUCUAGUGAAGCAAUGUUGAUAUUCCCCUGGCAGAAACUCCUUCCCAGAGGCUAGAGCAUGAAGGCCGCCCUCCUUGUAGCAGCUCCCCUGCAUAGUGAUUUGCUGGUGUGGGGCGGACUUGCAAAUUAAUUUGAUUUGAAAAUUUAUUUUCAGUACAGGAUUUUGCCAGGCCAUACAGGCUCUCUAUAUUGGCCCUUUCUCCCAAUGUCAUGCCUCUGAUGCUGCUGGCUGAGAGCACCAAUAGGAAUAUGGAUUUGACUGUCAAUGGUCUGUUCAGCCCGACUUCUUUCAGAGCUGAUCUAAUUUCUUUAGCGAUCUGUGCCUGCAGAGGAAUUGUGUUAAUUUGUUAAUUGAGUUAGAGCACUGCCAGAGCAGCAGUAGACCUUCCUUGGCUCUACCCUGGGUCUAAUGGGGAAACGCUAACUGUAAUGAAGCUGUACUGGUUGGGGAACAAAUGAGAGCUGAUGAAUUACAGCCAGAACGUGACACUGAUGAGAGGUGAUCAUUCCCAGCAGAGAUGUACGUGGAUCUCAGAUCCGCAGUGCUCACAGAGUGGAUCUGAGAGGGGGGAGAUGGGUGGUCUCCCAGUGGUGCCUCCUGGAAGCUUUGACACACAGCAGGUAAGGUCCGGCUGAGAGGUGUGACUCAGCGCUCUGGCUCCAACCCUGGGACACACUUUCUUUUGCCCAGGAGAGCGGCUUAAAUGCUAUUCUCCAUGACUCAGCGGUCAAGACCUCCUUGGGCAAGUUCCACUGUGGACCAGUGCUCUUAAUCUAAAUGCACAGGCCCCAUUGGCCAGGCAGAUGGAGAGGGCAGCUGUCACUUCCCAGGGAAGCCAGGCGAUCCCCCUGGGUCAGCGGGGCAGGGUUUCCUGUGAGGAGACCACGUGUGAAAUCCUUGGGAAGGCAAGGCAUUCUGAGGAUGUGAGUUAUCACGGCAGAGCUCACCGAGGCUUCCCUGAUUUGAUAUAAAUAACUCUGCACUGGCAGCGAAUGGGAAGACAGCCAAGUAGUAAUGAAUACUAGGACAAACAAACAGGCCUCCGGGAUGCUGGCCCAACCACUCCAAACCACGCUUGGCAACAGGCUCAGAGGUGGUGGUGGGCGAAAUCGCACCAACCACAUGGCAUUAAUCCUCCUCAGUGGAGAGAGGCAGCUCUCUGGAGUAAGUCAAGCUCAGAUAAUUAGGAAAGGCUGUACCACAUGGAACUGGAGCAUUGACGUCAAGGAGCCCAUCUGAAGCCUGCUAGUUCCCCUGAUACGAUAUUCAAAUAUUAACCGACACAUCGGGAGUUGUAAAUUGGACACUUUCUAUUUAGGAAGCCCUGGAUUGAGAGGUAACAAUGUGACAAGAGACAAUUUCAGUGCCACCUCCUGACAACUAGAGCUUAUAAUUAAAUGGAAAUGCAUGGAAAAAGGAGAAAUAGGAUGUAGUCUAGCAGCAUUAUAUACUACCCAACAACUAACUCCUUUAUACAAUAGACUUUUAAUUUUUGGCUGUGCCCAUGGCAUGUGGAAGUUUCUAGGCCAGACAUAGAAACCUGCACCACAGCAGUGACAAUGCUGGAUCCUUAACCUGCUAGGCCACCAGGGAACUCUAACAAGACUUUCUAUUGCAUUGAUGGGCUCACGUUAAGUAAGAAAAAAGGUUAGAUGAACCCAGAGUGGGAACACUGGGGAACAAACCAAUAAGGAAGGCAGAGCUGCCUGGAGCUUGGCUGCCAGGGUCAGUACUAUAAUGGUCAAUCUAAGCUAAAGCCACAGUAAGAGGGGAAGGGGAGGGGAAAUGGAGAUUCUCAGGUUAGUCUGGAUAGUGCCUUUGGCCCUCGGCAGAAACAAACCUGACUUCUCUUUUCAUAAAAGCUUCCCCAUCACAGGCUCUCAGGAGUUCCUCAAAUUAAGAUCAACCAAGGAGUUCAGAAUCAAACAACAUGAAAAAUACAAGCAAAGAGGCCACCAUGAGUGAAAAUCAGCAGAAACUAUGGAUCACAGAAUUAAAUUGCCUAUUCCUUUAGGUAAUGAAAUUAAUCAGACACAAAAUAUAUAAAAUGAUAAUGUAUCAAGUGCUUAAAGACUGAAAAAAGGAAUCACAAAAUAAGCAAUAAGAGACUAUAAAAUGACCAGGAAGAUUUUAGAAAAAAGAAUUUGAAAAAUUAUGAAUUAUAAAAGUUAAUAAAACACACCUUGAUGAAUAGGUAAAACA